GACGAACGCUGGCGGCGUGCUUAACACAUGCAAGUCGAACGGAAAGGCCCCCUUGUGGGGUACUCGAGUGGCGAACGGGUGAGUAACACGUGAGUAACCUACCCUUGACUUUGGGAUAACUUCAGGAAACUGGGGCUAAUACCGGAUAGGAGCUCCUGCUGCAUGGUGGGGGUUGGAAAGUUUCGGCGGUUGGGGAUGGACUCGCGGCUUAUCAGCUUGUUGGUGGGGUAGUGGCACACCAAGGCUUUGACGGGUAGCCGGCCUGAGAGGGUGACCGGCCACAUUGGGACUGAGAUACGGCCCAGACUCCUACGGGAGGCAGCAGUGGGGAAUAUUGCACAAUGGGCGGAAGCCUGAUGCAGCAACGCCGCGUGCGGGAUGACGGCCUUCGGGUUGUAAACCGCUUUCGCCUGUGACGAAGCGUGAGUGACGGUAAUGGGUAAAGAAGCACCGGCUAACUACGUG
rnacentral:rRNA from 1 species